rnacentral:tRNA from 1 species
AGGGGAAUGGCAGAAAAGUGCCUUAGCCCUAAGACCUAACAAUGAGGCGACUGCCUCUUCCCCCA